rnacentral:rRNA from 1 species
AACGAACGCUGGCGGCAUGCCUAACACAUGCAAGUCGAACGAGACCUUCGGGUCUAGUGGCGCACGGGUGCGUAACGCGUGGGAACCUUCCCUUAGGUUCGGAAUAACUCCCCGAAAGGGGUGCUAAUACCGGAUAAUGUCUUCGGACCAAAGAUUUAUCGCCUUUGGAUGGGCCCGCGUUGGAUUAGCUAGUUGGUAGGGUAAAAGCCUACCAAGGCGACGAUCCAUAGCUGGUCUGAGAGGAUGAUCAGCCACACUGGGACUGAGACACGGCCCAGACUCCUACGGGAGGCAGCAGUGGGGAAUAUUGGACAAUGGGCGAAAGCCUGAUCCAGCAAUGCCGCGUGAGUGAUGAAGGCCUUAGGGUUGUAAAGCUCUUUUACCCGGGAUGAUAAUGACAGUACCGGGAGAAUAAGCUCCGGCUAACUACGUG